rnacentral:rRNA from 1 species
UGUAGCAUACAAGGCAUACGGCUCAGUAACGCGUAGUCAACCUAACCUAUGGACGGGAAUAACCUCGGGAAACUGAGAAUAAUGCCCGAUAGAACAUUAUGCCUGGAAUGGUUUAUGUUCCAAAUGAUUUAUCGCCGUAGGAUGGGACUGCGGCCUAUCAGUUUGUUGGUGAGGUAAUGGCCCACCAAGACUAUUACAGGUACGGGCUCUGAGAGGAGUAGCCCGGAGAUGGGUACUGAGACACGGACCCAGGCCCUAUGGGGCGCAGCAGGCGAGAAAACUUUGCAAUGUGCGAAAGCACGACAAGGUUAAUCCGAGUGGUUUCUGCUAAAGAAACCUUUUGUCAGUCCUAGAAACACUGAUGAAUAAGGGGUGGGCAAGUUCUGGUGUCAGCCGCCGCGGUAAAACCAGCACCUCAAGUGGUCAGGAUGAUUAUUGGGCCUAAAGCAUCCGUAGCCGGCUCUGUAAGUUUUCGGUUAAAUCUGUACGCUCAACGUACAGGCUGCCGGGAAUACUGCAGAGCUAGGGAGUGGGAGAGGUAGACGGUACUCGGUAGGAAGGGGUAAAAUCCUUUGAUCUAUUGAUGACCACCUGUGGCGAAGGCGGUCUACCAGAACACGUCCGACGGUGAGGGAUGAAAGCUGGGGGAGCAAACCGGAUUAGAUACCCGGGUAGUCCCAGCUGUAAACUAUGCAAACUCAGUGAUGCAUUGGCUUGUGGCCAAUGCAGUGCUGCAGGGAAGCCGUUAAGUUUGCCGCCUGGGAAGUACGUACGCAAGUAUGAAACUUAAAGGAAUUGGCGGGGGAGCACCACAAGGGGUGAAGCCUGCGGUUCAAUUGGAGUCAACGCCGGG